rnacentral:tmRNA from 1 species
GGGGCCGUAAAGGUUUCGACGGGGAUUUAGAAACGGAGUAAGCGAGCGGAAGCGCAUAACUUCCUAAAAAUGUGCACUUUAAAAUUAAACGCUAACAAUAACAAAUUAGCAGUAGCUGCUUAACGCAGCUUCCGUCGCACCCGAGAGUACCGCGGCUCGGGAUGCGGCGUCACUUAGCGGUGAACGUGUGUCGGGCAAAGCUUUGAGCCCUUCCAUGAACUAAUGAAGCUACCGUCCGAGUGAGCCUGUCUUUCGGCAUACUCGGUGGGGAAUCCUAAAGAAAGACUGCGCUCGGAGAAAGCACCGCGGACAGGUUUUCGGACAGGGGUUCGAUUCCCCUCGGCUCCACCA